rnacentral:rRNA from 1 species
ACUCAAAGGAAUUGACGGGGGCCCGCACAAGCGGUGGAGCAUGUGGUUUAAUUCGACGCAACGCGAAGAACCUUACCCAGGCUCGAACGGCAGAGGACAUCCUACGAAAGUAGGCUUCCGCAAGGACUUCUGUCGAGGUGCUGCAUGGCUGUCGUCAGCUCGUGUCGUGAGAUGUUGGGUUAAGUCCCGCAACGAGCGCAACCCUUGUCUUCUGUUGCCAUCAGGUUAAGCUGGGCACUCUGGAGAGACUGCCGGUGACAAACCGGAGGAAGGUGGGGAUGACGUCAAGUCAGCAUGGCCUUUAUGUCUGGGGCCACACACGUGCUACAAUGGCCAGUACAAACCGUUGCAAACUCGCGAGGGUGAGCUAAUCGGAUAAAGCUGGUCUCAGUUCGGAUUGUAGGCUGCAACUCGCCUGCAUGAAGUUGGAAUCGCUAGUAAUCGCGGAUCAGCACGCCGCGGUGAAUACGUUCCCGGGCCUUGUACACACCGCCCGU